CGAUGAUGCCCAGCUUGCUGGGUGGAUUAGUGGCGAACGGGUGAGUAACACGUGAGUAACCUGCCCCUGACUCUGGGAUAAGCGUUGGAAACGACGUCUAAUACUGGAUAUGAUCACUGGCCGCAUGGUCUGGUGGUGGAAAGAUUUUUUGGUUGGGGAUGGACUCGCGGCCUAUCAGCUUGUUGGUGAGGUAAUGGCUCACCAAGGCGACGACGGGUAGCCGGCCUGAGAGGGUGACCGGCCACACUGGGACUGAGACACGGCCCAGACUCCUACGGGAGGCAGCAGUGGGGAAUAUUGCACAAUGGGCGAAAGCCUGAUGCAGCAACGCCGCGUGAGGGAUGACGGCCUUCGGGUUGUAAACCUCUUUUAGUAGGGAAGAAGCGAAAGUGACGGUACCUGCAGAAAAAGCACCGGCUAACUACGUGCCAGCAGCCGCGGUAAUACGUAGGGUGCAAGCGUUGUCCGGAAUUAUUGGGCGUAAAGAGCUCGUAGGCGGUUUGUCGCGUCUGCUGUGAAAUCCCGAGGCUCAACCUCGGGCUUGCAGUGGGUACGGGCAGACUAGAGUGCGGUAGGGGAGAUUNGGAAUUCCUGGUGUAGCGGUGGAAUGCGCAGAUAUCAGGAGGAACACCGAUGGCGAAGGCAGAUCUCUGGGCCGUAACUGACGCUGAGGAGCGAAAGCAUGGGGAGCGAACAGGAUUAGAUACCCUGGUAGUCCAUGCCGUAAACGUUGGGCGCUAGAUGUAGGGACCUUUCCACGGUUUCUGUGUCGUAGCUAACGCAUUAAGCGCCCCGCCUGGGGAGUACGGCCGCAAGGCUAAAACUCAAAGGAAUUGACGGGGGCCCGCACAAGCGGCGGAGCAUGCGGANUUAAUUCGAUGCAACGCGAAGAACCUUACCAAGGCUUGACAUACACCGGAAACGGCCAGAGAUGGUCGCCCCCUUGUGGUCGGUGUACAGGUGGUGCAUGGUUGUCGUCAGCUCGUGUCGUGAGAUGUUGGGUUAAGUCCCGCAACGAGCGCAACCCUCGUUCUAUGUUGCCAGCGGGUUAUGCCGGGGACUCAUAGGAGACUGCCGGGGUCAACUCGGAGGAAGGUGGGGAUGACGUCAAAUCAUCAUGCCCCUUAUGUCUUGGGCUUCACGCAUGCUACAAUGGCCGGUACAAAGGGCUGCGAUACCGUAAGGUGGAGCGAAUCCCAAAAAGCCGGUCUCAGUUCGGAUUGAGGUCUGCAACUCGACCUCAUGAAGUCGGAGUCGCUAGUAAUCGCAGAUCAGCAACGCUGCGGUGAAUACGUUCCCGGGCCUUGUACACACCGCCCGUCAAGUCAUGAAAGUCGGUAACACCCGAAGCCGGUGGCCUAACCC
rnacentral:rRNA from 1 species